rnacentral:lncRNA from 1 species
AUACCUUCUGGCCUCCAAGGGUGUCAGGUAUGCAUAUGGUACACAGACAUACAUGCAGUAAAAUACCUGUAGGCAUAAAAUAAAAACAAUGAAAUUUUAAAAAAUUAAGUGACGUGGCCACUCUGACAGAUUUUAGUACUUCUUCACUUAAAUGGUAGGGACUUAGAAACGGUUUUCUUUUCAACAGCUUAGUGACCCUUCCAGAAGUGUCAUCUGAAACAGCAGCUUAUGAAGGCUGGGAACAGGAGAGGGACAUUCCCCAUGUCACAACCAUAUCUGCCCUCUGAAGCAGGAAUUGCAAUCCCUUUUAAGUACAGG